GACGAACGCUGGCGGCGUGCUUAACACAUGCAAGUCGAACGGAAAGGCCCUGCUCUUGUGGGGUGCUCGAGUGGCGAACGGGUGAGUAACACGUGAGUAACCUGCCCUUGACUUUGGGAUAACUUCAGGAAACUGGGGCUAAUACCGGAUAGGAGCUCCUGCUGCAUGGUGGGGGUUGGAAAGAUUCGGCGGUUGGGGAUGGACUCGCGGCUUAUCAGCUUGUUGGUGGGGUAGUGGCUUACCAAGGCUUUGACGGGUAGCCGGCCUGAGAGGGUGACCGGCCACAUUGGGACUGAGAUACGGCGCAGACUCCUACGGUAGGCAACAGUGGGGAGUAUUGCACAGUGGGCGGAAGCCUGAGGCGGCGACGCCGCGUGCGGGAUGACGGCCUUCGGGGUGUAAACCGCUUUCGCCUGUGACGAAGCGUGAGUGACGGUAAUGGGUAAAGAAGCACCGGCUAACUACGUG
rnacentral:rRNA from 1 species